AUUUGCACACCAGCCAGAGCCAGGGGCGGAUUCUCUCCCCAGGGACGGAGCCUGCCUGCUCUGAAAUGUCACAGCUUGGACAGCAACAGGCCACACGGUACCAGGAUUGAACAUGCCCAGAAUUUCACUACAAAUCCCUGCAAGCUGCAUGGAAACUUUUUAAAGACACCAUAAUAGAGGUUCACUUUAAAUAUGCAUCCUUUAAAAAGUGGAAGUUAAAUCCUAGUGAGGAAACUAGAAAGGAGCAUAAACUCUGGCAGAUGAAGUGCAGAAAUAUAAUUAGGGAGGCCAAAAAAGGAUUUGGAGAACAGCUAGCCAAAGACUCAAAAAGUAAUCGCAA